rnacentral:ncRNA from 1 species
CUCUAAAAAGAGCAAAUCCGCUGUAAGGCGGAGACGCAAAGCCAUGAGUCCUUAUCAAGGAUUGUCAGGUUACUAAA